AGAGGAGGGAAACAGAGUGGGAAGGAACUACGCUGUAGGAAGGAAAGAUGAACUUGAGUUUCACUUCUUAGUGCCUUUUCUCAGGGGAGAGGCCAUCACUUGAAGAUGCUGAGUCUUCUGCUCCUUCUCCUGGGACUAGGCUCUGUGUUCAGUGCUGUCAUCUCUCAAAAGCCAAGCAGGGAUAUCUGUCAACAUGGAACCUCCCUGACGAUCCAGUGUCAAGUCGAUAGCCAAGUCACCAUGAUGUUCUGGUACCGUCAGCAACCUGGACAGAGCCCGACACUGAUUGCAACUGCAAAUCAGGGCUCUGAGGCCACAUAUGAGACUGGAUUUGUCAUUGACAAGUUUCCCAUCAGCCGCCCAAACCUAACAUUCUCAACUCUGACUGUGAGCAACAUGAGCCCUGAAGACAGCAGCAUAUACCUCUGCAGCGUUGAAGACACAGUGCGGGGCACAGAUCAAAGAUCUGAGCAAGAACCUCAGCUCUCUCCUACGCAGCUCCUCUCACAUGAGCCUGAAGGCCCUGCCAAGGUGGGAUAGAAGGAG